AAAUUGAAGAGUUUGAUCAUGGCUCAGAUUGAACGCUGGCGGCAGGCCUAACACAUGCAAGUCGAACGGUAACAGGAAGCAGCUUGCUGCUUUGCUGACGAGUGGCGGACGGGUGAGUAAUGUCUGGGAAACUGCCUGAUGGAGGGGGAUAACUACUGGAAACGGUGGCUAAUACCGCAUAACGUCGCAAGACCAAAGAGGGGGACCUUCGGGCCUCUUGCCAUCAGAUGUGCCCAGAUGGGAUUAGCUWGUUGGUGAGGUAACGGCUCACCAAGGCGACGAUCCCUAGCUGGUCUGAGAGGAUGACCAGCCACACUGGAACUGAGACACGGUCCAGACUCCUACGGGAGGCAGCAGUGGGGAAUAUUGCACAAUGGGCGCAAGCCUGAUGCAGCCAUGCCGCGUGUAUGAAGAAGGCCUUCGGGUUGUAAAGUACUUUCAGCGGGGAGGAAGGUGUUGUGG
rnacentral:rRNA from 1 species